rnacentral:rRNA from 1 species
CCUGACUGCUAUCGGAUUGAUACUAAGCCAUGCUAGUCUUUGUAGUAAUACAAGGCAUACGGCUCAGUAACGCGUAGUCAACCUACCCUAUGGACGGGGAUAAUCUCGGGAAACUGAGCAUAAUACCCGGCAGACCACUUAUCCUGGAAUGGUUAGUGGUUAAAAUGAUUCGUCGCCAUAGGAUGGGACUGCGGCCUAUCAGCUUGUUGGUGAGGUAAUGGCCCACCAAGGCGAUUACAGGUACGGGCUCUGAGAGGAGAGGCCCGGAGAUGGGUACUGAGACAAGGACCCAGGCCCUAUGGGGCGCAGCAGGCGAGAAAACUUUGCAAUGUGCGAAAGCACGACAAGGUUAAUCCGAGUGAUUUCUGCUAAAGGAAUCUUUUGUUAGUUCUAAAAAUACUAGUGAAUAAGGGGUGGGCAAGUUCUGGUGUCAGCCGCCGCGGUAAAACCAGCACCUCAAGUGGUCAGGAGGAUUAUUGGGCCUAAAGCAUCCGUAGCCUGUUCUAUAAGUUUGCGGUUAAAUCUAUACGCUCAACGUAUAGGCUGCCGUAAAUACUGUAGAACUAGGGAGUGGGAGAGGUAGACGGUACUCGAUAGGAAGGGGUAAAAUCCUUUGAUCUAUUGAUGACCACCUGUGGCGAAGGCGGUCUACCAGAACACGUUCGACGGUGAGGGAUGAAAGCUGGGGGAGCAAACCGGAUUAGAUACCCGGGUAGCCCCAGCUGUAAACGAUGCAGACUCGAUGAUGCAAUGGCAUAGAGCUAUUGCAGUAUCGCAGGGAAGCCGUUAAGUCUGCCGCCUGGGAAGUACGUACGCAAGUAUGAAACUUAAAGGAAUUGGCGGGGGAGCACCACCAAGGGGUGAAGCCUGCGGUUC